rnacentral:rRNA from 1 species
CCUACGGGUGGCUGCAGUGGGGAAUAUUGCACAAUGGGGGAAACCCUGAUGCAGCGACGCCGCGUGAGUGAAGAAGUCCUUCGUUAUGUAAAGCUCUAUCAGCAGGGAAGAAAAAGACGGUACCUGAGUAAGAAGCCCCGGCUAACUACGUGCCAGCAGCCGCGGUAAUACGGAGGGGGCAAGCGUUAUCCGGAUUUACUGGGUGUAAAGGGAGCGUAGACGGCAUGGCAAGUCUGGAGUGAAAGGCGGGGGCUCAACCCCCGGACUGCUCUUGAAACUGUACGGCUGGAGUGCAGGAGAGGUAAGUGGAAGUCCUGGUGUAGCGGUGAAAUGCGUAGAUAUUAGGAGGAACACCGGUGGCGAAGGCGGCUUACUGGACUAUAACUGACGUUGAGGCUCGAAAGCGUGGGGAGCAAACAGGAUUAGAUACCCCGGUAGUC